GACGAACGCUGGCGGCGUGCCUAAUACAUGCAAGUAGAACGCUGAAGGAGGAGCUUGCUUCUCUGGAUGAGUUGCGAACGGGUGAGUAACGCGUAGGUAACCUGCCUGGUAGCGGGGGAUAACUAUUGGAAACGAUAGCUAAUACCGCAUAAUAGUAGAUGUUGCAUGACAUUUGCUUAAAAGGUGCAAUUGCAUCACUAACAGAUGGCCCUGCGUUGUAUUAGCUAGUUGGUGGGGUAACGGCUCACCAAGGCGACGAUACAUAGCCGACCUGAGAGGGUGAUCGGCCACACUAGGACUGAGACACGGCCCAGACUCCUACAGGAGGCAGCAGUAGGGAAUCUUCGGCAAUGGACGGAAGUCUGACCAAGCAACGCCGCGGGAGUGAAGAAGGUUUUCGGAUCGUAAAGCUCUGUUGUAAGAGAAGAACGAGUGUGAGAGUGGAAAGUUCACACUGUGACGGUAGCUUACCAGAAAGGGACGGCUAACUACGUG
rnacentral:rRNA from 1 species